rnacentral:rRNA from 1 species
AUUGAACGCUGGCGGCAUGCCUUACACAUGCAAGUCGAACGGCAGCACGGGAGCAAUCCUGGUGGCGAGUGGCGAACGGGUGAGUAAUAUAUCGGAACGUGCCCGGUCGUGGGGAUAACGUAGCGAAAGCUACGCUAAUACCGCAUACGAUCUACGGAUGAAAGCGGGGGGAUCGCAAGACCUCGCGCGAUUGGAGCGGCCGAUAUCAGAUUAGGUAGUUGGUGAGGUAAAGGCUCACCAAGCCGACGAUCUGUAGCUGGUCUGAGAGGACGACCAGCCACACUGGGACUGAGACACGGCCCAGACUCCUACGGGAGGCAGCAGUGGGGAAUUUUGGACAAUGGGCGCAAGCCUGAUCCAGCAAUGCCGCGUGCAGGAUGAAGGCCUUCGGUUGGUAAACGUUAGACGUUUUGUUACGGUAACGGAAACGGUAGA